UGGAAUCGAGAUAGCCUUUUCCUUACUGCUUUGUCCAAGAUGGGACAUUCUUUCCCAGGCAAAAGUGCUUGCAGGAACCAUCUUCAAUGCUGGCCACAGCAAUUUUGUAUAUGGUGGCAGCUGAGAAAAUUCGAGCAAAGAAUAUGUCAGAUCUCUUAAGAGCUGGUGUAGCAUAACUGUGAAGAGACUGAACUGUGAAUGGGAACUCCCCACAUGGAACUCUUUCCUCUGCUGUGAAAUCAUUAACCAAGACACUCCUUCCCAGUCCCAGCGGCAACAUGGGGACGAGAAGCCUUCUGUAGCUUAUUGGAUUGUUGCAAAUUUAAACAAUACAUGUGAAGUACUUCAUGCAUGUAAAAGUUGCUAU